rnacentral:rRNA from 1 species
ACUCCUACGGGAGGCAGCAGUGGGGAAUAUUGCACAAUGGGGGAAACCCUGAUGCAGCCAUGCCGCGUGUGUGAAGAAGGCCUUCGGGUUGUAAAGCACUUUCAGUAGGGAGGAAGGUAGUGUAGUUAACACCUGCAUUAUUUGACGUUACCUACAGAAGAAGCACCGGCUAAACUCCGUGCCAGCAGCCGCGGUAAUACGGAGGGUGCGAGCGUUAAUCGGAAUUACUGGGCGUAAAGCGCAUGCAGGCGGCCUGUUAAGUCAGAUGUGAAAGCCCGGGGCUUAACCUCGGAAUUGCAUUUGAAACUGGCAGGCUAGAGUCUUGUAGAGGGGGGUAGAAUUUCAGGUGUAGCGGUGAAAUGCGUAGAGAUCUGAAGGAAUACCAGUGGCGAAGGCGGCCCCCUGGACAAAGGACUGACGCUCAGAUGCGAAAGCUGGGGGA